AGGCCUUGAGGAUACGCAAGAUGUUGCUACCAGUGACGCUCUUAACCUGAACAAUACCAUGAGAAUCACGAAGAACGACACCAAUCCGAGAUGGGGUCAAGCCCUUCUUUGCGAACUUGCAAAUGUUUUCCUCGACCCGAACACAUUAUCGUUCAAUCAUAAGAAGAAAAAAAAUCAAGGGCACUUCUAUCAGAAAGGAAUCUGAAAAAGAGCUUAGAUUACUAACGUAUUGAGAAGAGACCUUGAGCCAGCUUGGUGGGAUCUCUUAUAAGGCAGAGCUGAGGCGGAAAUUCCCUUAUUGCAACAAAAGGAAAAAUGUUAAACAAUGUAAACAACAGAAGUGUAUAUAUAUACACAGAAAAAGGAAUAGAUGAGGAGGAGGAGAAAGAUACCUGCGACUGUGCAUACGACCCAUGGCGGCAGCGGCGGUAGUGAGGCUUCUCUGUUUCCCGGUAUUGUUAGGUACAUGGAGUCAACGUAAAUUAUUUUACGGUCAACGUAAAAAUCAGCCCCAAACUCCGUAAAACAACUUACCCUUUGAAAAAGGGUAAAUCAUUUUCCAGACGCUCCUUCAUAUUUUCCCUUACCUCUCUCCACACCCAAAAUCAGUCGCGAUCCCGUGGCCUCUUUCUCACUGGCGAAACUGACUCAGGCGUACGGUCAUCUUAUCAGUUUGGGUUUAGGGUUUUGGAGUCAUCGGAGGCUGCAACCUCCUCCUCCCUCCAUCGAAGUCCUCUCCUCGGAGAUUUCUUCUUCUGUGAAUUACACUGUGGAGCCUGUCAAUUUAGGCGGCCUUACUUACUCAAGGGAAGGGUGAGUAUUGAUGAGGUUCUUGGAUUGCAUAACUCUGAUUUAGUCCCUGGAAUCUAUGAAGGUUUGUAAUGAUGUUCCUCUUUUAUCUUUUUACCAUACUUCAUUUUUUUGCUCUCAUAUUGAUUUUCUUGUUCUGAUGAAUGCAUUUUGAGCAUCUUUUCAAAUAACGAACACAUGGUGAUGAUAUAUUGUUAAAGCUCUGCAAUCCGAGAUUCAAAAUGACCAUCUAUCACUUGAGGGGAAAGAGUGUUAGAGGGUGCAGCUGAAGUGCAUUUUCAGGACUUCAAUAUUGUGGUACUCCGGUGUCUCACCAUCCCAAAUGUAAAUGCAACUCUUUUGGAGAAGUCUCAACCAGCCACAGCAUCCUCUAAUUUACGGGAGGUAUGGAAGCUUUCGUAUAAGUAGAUCCUCAAUUUUCGGCCCAUUGUGUAUUUAGUGUGCUACAAUACUAAGGAGUGAAGCAUGGGUUUCGAUAUUUGAAGAAUAAAUAAUGUAACCGUGGAAGUUCAAUUGUGACAUGAACAUUAUGAAAU